ACUACGGGUGGCAGCAGUGGGGAAUAUUGGGCAAUGGGCGAAAGCCUGACCCAGCAACGCCGCGUGAGGGAAGAAGGCUUUCGGGUUGUAAACCUCUUUUGGCAGGGAAGAGCAGAAGACGGUACCGGUCGAAUAGGCCACGGCUACCGACGUGCCAGCAGCCUAGGUAAUACGGAGGGCGGAAGAGUUUUCCGGAUUUGCUGGGUGUAAAGGCAGUGUAUCCGGGCUGACAAGUCAGUUGUGAAAUCCGGGGGCUUAACCCCCGAACUGCUUUUAAAACUGGUGGUCUUGAGUAUCGGAGAGGUAGGCGGAAUUCCUAGUGUAGCGGUGAAAUGCGUAGAUAUUAGGAGGAACACCAGUGGCGAAGGCGGCCUGCUGGACGACAACUGACGGUGAGGCGCGAAAGCGUGGGGAGCAAACAGGAUUAGAUACCCGAGUAGUC
rnacentral:rRNA from 1 species